AAUCCAUGGUGUGGACAAGCUAUUAAUAUUUCUUGGUAUCUCUCCCAAGCGUCGGAAAGAGAUUCACCAUCGAACUGUGUCAAUCUGGUAAUUUGGUUUCGUAGGAC